rnacentral:rRNA from 1 species
UGGGGAAUAUUGCACAAUGGAGGGAACUCUGAUGCAGCGACGCCGCGUGAACGAAGAAGGCUUUCGAGUCGUAAAGUUCUUUUAUAUGGGAAGAUAAUGACGGUACCAUAAGAAAAAGCCCCGGCUAACUACGUGCCAGCAGCCGCGGUAAUACGUAGGGGGCUAGCGUUGUCCGGAAUCACUGGGCGUAAAGGGUUCGCAGGCGGAAAUGCAAGUCAGGUGUAAAAGGCAGUAGCUUAACUACUGUAAGCAUUUGAAACUGCAUAUCUUGAGAAGAGUAGAGGUAAGUAGAAUUUUUAGUGUAGCGGUGAAAUGCGUAGAUAUUAAAAAGAAUACCGGUGGCGAAGGCGGCUUACUGGGCUCAUUCUGACGCUGAGGAACGAAAGCGUGGGUAACAAACAGG